UGAGGAAUAUUGGUCAAUGGGCGAGAGCCUGAACCAGCCAAGUCGCGUGAGGGAAGACGGUCCUAUGGAUUGUAAACCUCUUUUGCCGGGGAGCAAAGAGCGGCACGUGUGCCGCGCCGAGAGUACCCGGAGAAAAAGCAUCGGCUAACUCCGUGCCAGCAGCCGCGGUAAUACGGAGGAUGCGAGCGUUAUCCGGAUUUAUUGGGUUUAAAGGGUGCGCAGGCGGCGCGUUAAGUCAGCGGUAAAAGUUUCGGGGCUUAACCCGCACGAGCCGUUGAAACUGGCGUGCUAGAGUGGGCGAGAAGUAUGCGGAAUGCGUGGUGUAGCGGUGAAAUGCAUAGAUAUCACGCAGAACUCCGAUUGCGAAGGCAGCAUACCGGCGCCCCAACUGACGCUCAUUGCACGAAAGCGUGGGUAUCGAACAGGAUUAGAUACC
rnacentral:rRNA from 1 species